rnacentral:rRNA from 1 species
UACGGAGGAUGCGAGCGUUAUCCGGAUUUAUUGGGUUUAAAGGGUGCGUAGGUUGUUUUUUAAGUCAGCGGUGAAAGUUUGUGGCUCAACCAUAAAAUUGCCGUUGAAACUGGAAGACUUGAGUGUGUUUGAGGUAGGCGGAAUGCGUGGUGUAGCGGUGAAAUGCAUAGAUAUUAGGAGGAACACCAGUGGCGAAGGCGGCCUACUGGACGGUGACUGACGCUGAGGCUCGAAAGCGUGGGGAGCAAACAGG